rnacentral:miRNA from 1 species
UAUGGGACCCAUAGAACGGC